ACGCUGGCGGCAGGCCUAACACAUGCAAGUCGAGCGGUAGAGAGAAGCUUGCUUCUCUUGAGAGCGGCGGACGGGUGAGUAAUGCCUAGGAAUCUGCCUGGUAGUGGGGGAUAACGUCCGGAAACGGACGCUAAUACCGCAUACGUCCUACGGGAGAAAGCAGGGGACCUUCGGGCCUUGCGCUAUCAGAUGAGCCUAGGUCGGAUUAGCUAGUUGGUGGGGUAAUGGCUCACCAAGGCGACGAUCCGUAACUGGUCUGAGAGGAUGAUCAGUCACACUGGAACUGAGACACGGUCCAGACUCCUACGGGAGGCAGCAGUGGGGAAUAUUGGACAAUGGGCGAAAGCCUGAUCCAGCCAUGCCGCGUGUGUGAAGAAGGUCUUCGGAUUGUAAAGCACUUUAAGUUGGGAGGAAGGGCAGUAAAUUAAUACUUUGCUGUUUUGACGUUACCGACAGAAUAAGCACCGGCUAACUCUGUGCCAGCAGCCGCGGUAAUACAGAGGGUGCAAGCGUUAAUCGGAAUUACUGGGCGUAAAGCGCGCGUAGGUGGUUCGUUAAGUUAGAUGUGAAAUCCCCGGGCUCAACCUGGGAACUGCAUUCAAAACUGACGAGCUAGAGUAUGGUAGAAGGGUGGUGGAAUUUCCUGUGUAGCGGUGAAAUGCGUAGAUAUAGGAAGGAACACCAGUGGCGAAGGCGACCACCUGGACUGAUACUGACACUGAGGUGCGAAAGCGUGGGGAGCAAAC
rnacentral:rRNA from 1 species